rnacentral:rRNA from 1 species
CUAAGCGUACACGGUGGAUGCCCUGGCAGUCAGAGGCGAUGAAGGACGUGCUAAUCUGCGAUAAGCGCCGGUAAGGUGAUAUGAACCGUUAUAACCGGCGAUUUCCGAAUGGGGAAACCCAGUGUGAUUCGUCACACUAUCAUUAACUGAAUCCAUAGGUUAAUGAGGCGAACCGGGGGAACUGAAACAUCUAAGUACCCCGAGGAAAAGAAAUCAACCGAGAUUCCCCCAGUAGCGGCGAGCGAACGGGGAGGAGCCCAGAGCCUGAAUCAGCAUGUGUGUUAGUGGAAGCGUCUGGAAAGGCGCGCGAUACAGGGUGACAGCCCCGUACACAAAAGCGCAUGUGCUGUGAGCUCGAUGAGUAGGGCGGGACACGUGGUAUCCUGUCUGAAUAUGGGGGGACCAUCCUCCAAGGCUAAAUACUCCUGACUGACCGAUAGUGAACCAGUACCGUGAGGGAAAGGCGAAAAGAACCCCGGCGAGGGGAGUGAAAAAGAACCUGAAACCGUGUACGUACAAGCAGUGGGAGCCCCACCACCAAAGCAUUCUCUGGUGUUGAAGGCCCUGCAAAGCAGCAUCGCGGUGGCGGAGCGUCGUUUGCGACGCCCAACACACAAAACAAGCGGUGAGUGCUUUGGGGUGGGGUGACUGCGUACCUUUUGUAUAAUGGGUCAGCGACUUAUAUUCUGUAGCAAGGUUAACCGAAUAGGGGAGCCGGAGGGAAACCGAGUCUUAAUUGGGCGUUAAGUUGCAGGGUAUAGACCCGAAACCCGGUGAUCUAGCCAUGGGCAGGUUGAAGGUUGGGUAACACUAACUGGAGGACCGAACCGACUAAUGUUGAAAAAUUAGCGGAUGACCUGUGGCUGGGGGUGAAAGGCCAAUCAAACCGGGAGAUAGCUGGUUCUCCCCGAAAGCUAUUUAGGUAGCGCCUCGUGAAUUCAUCUCCGGGGGUAGAGCACUGUUUCGGCUAGGGGGCCAUCCCGGCUUACCAACCCGAUGCAAACUGCGAAUACCGGAGAAUGUUAUCACGGGAGACACACGGCGGGUGCUAACGUCCGUCGUGAAGAGGGAAACAACCCAGACCGCCAGCUAAGGUCCCAAAGUCAUGGUUAAGUGGGAAACGAUGUGGGAAGGCCCAGACAGCCAGGAUGUUGGCUUAGAAGCAGCCAUCAUUUAAAGAAAGCGUAAUAGCUCACUGGUCGAGUCGGCCUGCGCGGAAGAUGUAACGGGGCUAAACCAUGCACCGAAGCUGCGGCAGCGACACUGUGUGUUGUUGGGUAGGGGAGCGUUCUGUAAGCCUGUGAAGGUGGCCUGUGAGGGUUGCUGGAGGUAUCAGAAGUGCGAAUGCUGACAUAAGUAACGAUAAAGCGGGUGAAAAGCCCGCUCGCCGGAAGACCAAGGGUUCCUGUCCAACGUUAAUCGGGGCAGGGUGAGUCGACCCCUAAGGCGAGGCCGAAAGGCGUAGUCGAUGGGAAACGGGUUAAUAUUCCCGUACUUGGUGUUACUGCGAAGGGGGGACGGAGAAGGCUAUGUUGGCCGGGCGACGGUUGUCCCGGUUUAAGCGUGUAGGUGUGUGUUCCAGGUAAAUCCGGUUCACUUUAACACUGAGGCGUGACGACGAGGCACUACGGUGCUGAAGCAACAAAUGCCCUGCUUCCAGGAAAAGCCUCUAAGCAUCAGGUAACAUCAAAUCGUACCCCAAACCGACACAGGUGGUCAGGUAGAGAAUACCAAGGCGCUUGAGAGAACUCGGGUGAAGGAACUAGGCAAAAUGGUGCCGUAACUUCGGGAGAAGGCACGCUGACACGUAGGUGAAGUGAUUUACUCAUGGAGCUGAAGUCAGUCGAAGAUACCAGCUGGCUGCAACUGUUUAUUAAAAACACAGCACUGUGCAAACACGAAAGUGGACGUAUACGGUGUGACGCCUGCCCGGUGCCGGAAGGUUAAUUGAUGGGGUCAGCGCAAGCGAAGCUCCUGAUCGAAGCCCCGGUAAACGGCGGCCGUAACUAUAACGGUCCUAAGGUAGCGAAAUUCCUUGUCGGGUAAGUUCCGACCUGCACGAAUGGCGUAAUGAUGGCCAGGCUGUCUCCACCCGAGACUCAGUGAAAUUGAACUCGCUGUGAAGAUGCAGUGUACCCGCGGCAAGACGGAAAGACCCCGUGAACCUUUACUAUAGCUUGACACUGAACAUUGAGCCUUGAUGUGUAGGAUAGGUGGGAGGCUUUGAAGCGUGGACGCCAGUCUGC